GGCAGAGUUGGCUCCUCUCACGCCCCCGCACCCGUAUAGCCGAGUGAACAGAGGCUCCUUGAGGGGCAGAGACUACUUGGGUGAUGUGGGAUCAGUGGCAAACGAGGUGAUGCACCAGACCCUUUGGUACCAAAUCCCUUAUGUGUCUUCUUUAUCCCCAACCCACCCACCUCCCUGUGCCACUCCCAGGUGCCUGAAAUCUGCCACCCGAGUUUCCUCUCUCCUUGGUGUCCUGCCCUGUCCAGCCAAGAAAGUAGUAACUGUCCCCUGGAGCAGAGGAGACGAGGCAAAGAGAGGGAGACAGGCCAAAUUAGGCAAUGUUAGCCUGAGUUUGCGCCCCCAGGCUUUCCUCUCCCUGGCUUCAAGCAAAUAACUGGGUUUAGUCGUUAGGAACUGCCGGGAUUUGGGCAGAAGGGUGGCCCAUAUUUAAGACCUUCUGUGUUCUGGUCAAAGUCUCAAACAGAAGAAAUUACCAGAGCGUAUCAGGAGUGGCUGGGGUGGGGUGGUGAAGGUUGGAGGGGGUUGUUGGUGGAAAGGAAGAGCGUGCUGGAGAAGUGAGGGCUCCCAGACUAGUGAACACUGCCCCUCACUGAGUGGGACAGGGGGCCGGGGCCAGGGCCUUGGGGUGAGCAUCAGGGUGGCCCCAGGAAGCCAGACCUGGGUUGCAAGACCUGGGACCUCACCACAGACCCCAGGGCCGCAGGGCGCUGCUGAGCCAGGGGGGCCCCUUGAGCGGAGGACGGUUUGGCCAUCGCUCGGUCACAGAUCCGGACCUGCCCUGGGCUGGGGGCUGUGUGGGCCCUGGGGGCAUUCCCGUUGGAGCAAGAGCAUGAAGAUAAACCCUGAAACACACGGAGUACUCUGUAGGUAGGGAUGGCUGCUGAGAAGUGUGGCCAGGAGGGUCUUGCUCAGGGAAUGGAGUUUCCGGAAGGAAGUGAGAGGGAGAACCACACCCGAAUAUGGACAAAAGGAACAGCCCUUUGACUUUUACAGCAAGAUGCAGCCCGGGAGCGACAGGAAAGCAGCGUAGACAGAUUCCUGGAAGCCACCUCAGAUUUUCUGGGACUCGCUAUGACUCCGGAGCUGAGCCAGCUCUGGAAAGGAGGAAACCCCCAGAAUGACCAAGGCUGGGCUUGCUUGCUUUGGUUGCAGUGGGAUGGGACCACAGACCACAGGAAUUUCAUGCAACCCAGGGCUUCUCAAACUUUAACCUUGUUAAAUGUGGAUUCUGACUCAGCAGGUGGACGGUGGGGCCUGAGAUUCUAUCAUUUCUAACAAACUCCCAGGUGAGGUCCAAGCGGCUGGGCCGGGGACUGCACUUUGAGUAGCAAAGUAUGUGUCUUGACCGUGUGUCCUGGUGGCCUGGGAAUCCUGCCUGCUGCUCAGUUUCAAGCCCGAAUCCUUCAGGGGUGUCAUUUGAGGCUCUUGCCACAUUUUACAGCCUCUUCCUCCCAGCCUGAGGGCCUCACAUUUGCCACCAUUUGCGCAAGAACCAAAUGGGUCUCCCCCCGCCCCGCAAGCCCCACCCGUCCACUGCUUGAUGCCCAAGCUUCAGUGGGAAGCAGAAGGCUUCAGAGCCAGCCUGCUUGCGUCCCGAUUGCGGCCCUGCCAGCUACAGGUGGCAUGACUUUGGAAUCAUGGCCAAGGAAUGACCUUGAAAGUUCAUCCUGUCCACCCCCUGGCUCUGGGCUGGGCAGGGGAGAGAGGCUGGCCUACUCAGCUGGGACAUUCUUGGGGAUGUUGAACUGGAAUCUUCCCUUGGCAAGGACUUGUCUCCUGAAUGGUCUGGGCUCUCGUAUUACCCCUGCCACCUUCCGUGAGGACUGCGAUCCCCUCAAAGACAAAGUUGCCUAUGUUCAUACGUUUUCAGCCAUUCGGGAGCUGACAUAACAGCGCCAACUCUACAGCUCUGAUCUCCCUGUGACCUGGCCCAUGGACCUCCUGCUCCAGGCUCCAGCGCAGAUGGAGACGAGGGUGGUGACUGGAUCACGGGCACACUGCAGGGGAGUGGGACCCUACGCCCUUGCCAGGGAGCCCAGGAAGGUGGAUGUAUGAACAUGGGGAAGAGUGGAGUAGGAGAGCUCCCAAAACUUGCCCCCUUGGAGACUUCAUCCUGGGACCCCACACCACCGAGCAUACCUGGCUGGUUCACAUUUAGUGCCUCGAGCACACCCAGGGCACCUGGAGGUUGCUGGGGUCACCCAGAGAGAGAAGAUGGACCUCCUCCAAAUGACUGUGUGUACCUCGGAAGACAGCAGGACAAGCAGAAGCCCCCCAACCCCUGGUCAAGCAUACGGGGAGGGAAGAAUGGGCGUGACGCUUUGCAGGGGAGAGGGCUGGUCAAGGCGGGACUCCCAACAUGGGAAAAGGUUGGGAGGCUAGGACUUGAGGGAUGUCCCAAAGGAGGCUCCCCCCCUUCCUGCAUCUCCCCUCAGCGGGUCACCUUACUCACCUCAGACUGAAGGUUUGACCCGUGAUGACUGCCAAGGAUCUCUGACUCUUCCCGGCACCCAUCCUGGAUGUCCCAUGGGCCUUAUGAAGGAAUUUACCAGCUACCCAUCCACUCUCAGGCCAUGGCUCUUCUGUCUGGACUACACACAGCAUGGGUCAGCCUUCCUGCAAGUCAACACAGUUCUGCAGCCUUCAGGUGCCUCUGUCUUCCUCAGGGUGCAGUCCAACUUCUUGGCCAGUACUUUGAGGCCUUUCCAAGCCACCAAGGGCUCCCCCAGCCCCAUGGAGCUGUCACAUGGCAUUUCUCCGCGUAUGCCUCCAGGGGUUUGAACAAGGGCGCCAUCUUGCCACAUCUGCCUGGCAAACUCCUACCCCUCCGUCAGAGCCCAACUCUCCAGGGCCUCCUUUAGGAGGCUUUUCCAACAAGUUCCCCAUUCCGGGGCAGGGGUCCCAGGCUAUGCAGCUCCCUCCCUUAGCAAAUGUCCCCAUGAAGCUUACAGACUGUGCAGACCUCUUCCUUUCCCACUAAACUGUGGGAUCCAGGACAGGGGUGAGCCGGUAGCAGUGGGCAGGCAGAGAUGGAUGCUGACUUGAGCUUAGCUCUAAGAGGCUCUGGAGCUGCCACCUGAGGGGACCUGGGUUCAAAUCCCACCUCUGCCCUCUUUUAGCUGCACAACCUUGUACAAGGGAACUUAAAGCUCCCUGUCCUCCACUCUCAUCUGUAAAAUGGGCAAAAUCAUCACAUCAGCUCCUCUCUGGGGCUGCUUUGAGGAUGAGAUGAGCGUGGGGUGCUUAGAAGAGGGCCCAACACAUGGUAAAUGCCAGUUCUCAUCGUUGCCUUCGGAUCCCACAGGGGCAGCCCUUCGAAAGGUCUAUUCGCCCAACAAAUAAGAAACUCGUUCUGUCUAGGUCAGCAUGGUCUCUAAGCCAGCGUUUCUCAAACUCAGGUGGGCAUCAGAAUCGGUUAGGGUGGUGUGGAAAAAGACAGAUUAGUCAGCCACAGCAGGUCCUGGGUGGACCUGGGAAUGAGUAUUUUAGCAAAUUCCCUGUAUUCCAGUCUGGUUUUUUUUUUUUAAGAUUUAUUUAUGUAUUUAUUUGAGAGAAAGCGAGAGAUAGCAUGAGUGGGGGACGGAGAGAGGGAGAGGGAGACAAGCAGACUCCCCGCUGAGCAGGGAGCCCGACCUGGGACUUGAUUCCAGGACUGGAGCUGAAGGCAGACGCUUUACUGACUGAGCCACCCAGGAGCCCCUCCCUGUACCCCAUUGUGAUGCAGGUGGUCCAAGACCACCUCUGGCAGGGGUCAGGGAGGUGUUUGUUUAAAAAAAAAAAAAAAAGGAAGGCUUUGUCAUGGAAACCUGACUCCAGUGACCAGCUCCUCCUACUGCCAGCCCCUGCCCCAGUGAGGAAGGUUCAUGAAUGAGGCAGAGUAGUCAAGGAGCUGCCUCUGCAGACAGGAGGCCUGGGUUCUAAUCCCGACUCGCCUCUUCCAGGCUGGGGGCUUUCCCUGUGUCCCGUUCCCCUCUGUGAGAAGUGGAGCUUCCAUGAGCUCCCAUCUCCCUGCCGCGAGGGUUGAUGAGUCUUCAUUCAGAGACACCCCUGAGAGCAAGACAGAGCGAGCACUCAGCAGGCAGGGGUGUCUGUUACCUUCGCCCUGCAGCCGUUUGUCUUCCGAGGCCUGCUCUCCCUGAGUGUUUUAUUUUCUGGUGAUGGAUUCCAGCUCAUGUUCGGGGCCUGCACCUGCAUACAAAUGGCAAGAGCAUAGGCGGCCCCGGGAUCUGUCCUCGCCUGCUCUCUGCCAAGCACCAGGCUGUGAGUUUCCAGCAGGCCCGGAAGUCCCAGGGCCUCUUAUGAGGCCGGGACCACCAUGCCCUGUGGUGGCCGGAAGCAGCCAGACUGCCGGUCCCUUUGAGAGUAGUGUCCCCAUGAGAGAGUGACGGCUGGGAGGUCUUCGGGGAGUUGGGAGCUGCCGGGACAAUCGGUCGCUGUUUGGGGGAGUGAGGUUGGCAGGGCCUUGCCCCUCGGCACUGAGCCCCUGCCAAGCCCCUGCCAAGCCCCCGCCAAGCCCCUGCCAAGCCUGGGCCUGGUUUCCCACUGCCUGCCCGUUCCAGGGUGUUCUGGGAGGGGGCCUAGUGGGGACUCACUGCCCCUGCCCCAGAGCCUCAGCUAUGGUGGAGGAGACCAGGCAGGCUUGCAGAGCAGCGGACAGGCUCUGCCUAGGCCCUGUCAUCUGCUGGGCUGGGGCGGCUUGCUUAGAACCAGCCCCACACAGACACUCACUGGGCUGCCAGGGUCCACGUGGGCCACAGGGAUGCAGAAGGCCUGUGUGCUUGGGUGGCCCCUGUCACGUGCCUUGGUUGGAGAAACAACAGGGAACAAAACAGAGGCUCUGGCCUCGUGCAGCCUGCGUUCUCCUUCAGGGAGAUGGGAGCAAAGCUGGAGACGGUGCGGGGGGGAGAAAAAUAAAGAGCCCAAGGGGACACAAGGUGAUGGUGCAGGGCUUUUCUUUUCUUUUCUUUUUUUUCCCACUUCUUUUUUUAAUUGACAUAUAGCCAACACACGACGUUACGUGAGUUUCAGGUGUACGACAUUGUGAUUUGACGAAUCUGUAUGUUCUGCUGUGCUCACCGCAAGUGUCGUGCCACCUGUCACCACAUAGACUGUUACCAUACCACUGACUAUAUUCCUUGGGCUGUAUUUUUUUUUUUUUAAUUGCAGAGGCCGGUUUUGCCAGAAGGAUGAGUAAAAGUCUUUUCAAAAAGGUGACAUUGAAGCAGAGACUCGAAGGGUGUGGUGGAGAAGGAAAGACACGCGGCUCUCUGGAGGAACGGUUUUCAGGUGUAGGGAACAGCAUGUGCGAAGCUGUGAGCAACGCGAGGAGCUGGCCUGUUUGAGAAGAGUCCAGAGGCCAGAGCAGCCAGAAUGGAGGGGUGGAAAGGAAGAGGGAAGGCCGAGAGGCUGGAAGGAGUCACUGAUAGAGUGGAAACAAUGACCUCACCCACCCCAGCACCUGCUGCCCCAGGACCCCGGCGUCAGCGAGCCUCACCGGACCUUCCCGCGGAGCUCUCAGCCUGUGACUCACGAGACAGAGCUCGCACCCCGGUCUGCUCUGCCCAGAUGCCGCGGUGGCUCUGAUGGGCCCCACCGACUCCACGGGGCCGCUCUGCCAGGCUGGGACCACGCACAGGAGGAAGGAGGUCCUUCCCAUGUGAUGUGAUGGGAGCUGUGGCAGCAGGUGACAUUUCCCGAACACGCCAGGCGCGCUUCCCAGGACGGUUCACAUCGGGACUCUUUACUCCUCUCCACAGGGGGUGGCAUCCCUCAGGUGGUGAUGAGCAGCUAACCUUGGUCCAGCACCUGUUUUAAAAUGUGGACACUCUUGGGUUGAGUGGGAAGUGGGGUGGGGACGAUUGGGAAAUGAGCCUUGUGACAGCUGGGCCUUUCUCCAGCGGUGCUGGGCACUGAGUUUCCUGCCUUCACUCUUCUGGACAUGCAGACCAACUAAAUGCUCUGGUCUCACUGCACUCGGCUGCACUGUACACGGUUGAAUCUUUGGGACUCCACUGCCUAGGUGAGGGUAUGCACCAGGUGUUGGAAACACAGGUGAACCCCAGCGCCGAAUGCCCUACUAUCAAAGAGCACACUUGCUUGCCAUUAGCGAAUACAUACAGGAGAGAAGUGGUCAUACACCCCACGAGGGCAGGGACUUCUGUUUGGUUUGCUGCCGUGUCUCCAGUGCCUGGAACAGUGCCUGGCACGGUGUAGGAGCGCAACAAAAAUGCACUGAGUGCAUGAAUUUGUGGACCAUCUCUCUCCACCACCAUUGCCAGCGCCGUGGUCCAGCCUGCAGUCAUCUCUCCCCUGGAUGCUGCCACAGCCUCCCCUCUGGGCUUCCAUGUCCAGUGUUGCCCCAUCCAGUUUCUUCCCAGCAGCCAAAGUGAACUUAUCAAAAUGCAAUUCUGAUGAGGUCAUCUCUUGACGGAAACCCUUUAGUGGGUCCCCUCUCAUGUGAAACGAAACCCACAGUCUAUAACUUGGCCUGAAAGAUCCUACCUAAUCUGGUCCCUGGUUACCCUUGGACUCAUCAUGCACCCUUCACCCUCCCCUGCAGUCGCACUGUCACUGUCCUCCUUGGUGCUCCAGGAGCACUCUGCUCUGACCUCAGGGCCUUUGCACCCACUGUUCCUGCUGACUGGAAUGCUCUUCUCUACACUCCUCCAUGUCCAGCUCCAUCAUCCCACACAAGCUCAUGUUGCCUCCUCUCGGAGAAGCCUUCCCUGACUACCCUAGUCUCUCUCUCUACCGAGUCACUUAUUUUGUUUUAUUAGCUCCAUGGCAAGUCUCACAAUUCAAAACUGUUUUGUGUGUGUUUAUCUCCCCGCGUAGCUUGCAAGCGUUCUGAGAGCAGGCCCUUGUUAGCUCACUUCUUGCAGCGCGGCGGACACCUGGCACGUAGUAGGUGCGCAGUAUGCAUUGGUUGGGUAGACGAACAAAGGCAUCUAAGAACUUGUAGACAUUUUUCUCAUUACUCCUCCCCUGUCCUCAUGAGCUGGGGAUGAUGGUGCCCAUUUGACAGGUGGCAAGAAUGAGUCUCAGAGAGGUCAGGCAAUGUACCUAGGUCACACAGCUGGCGAGGGGUGCAUGUCUGUAUGUCCUUUUGUAUGUCUAUAUGUGAGUCUACAUGUGUCUCUGGGUGCUCAGGUGUCCUCCGGGUGUGUCUCUGGACACCUGAGCAUCCCUCUGGAUUUCUGCAUCUUUCCCGGCGGCUGCUGUGUGCUUAUCUCUGUUCCUGCCUGUGUGUGUGUGAGUCUGUGUGUGUCUAUGUAUACCACUGGGCGGACUUUCUUGUUGGCUGUCCUUGUGUCUGUGCGUGUCUCUGAGCAUGCAGGUCUAUCCAUCUAGCUCUUUUGGCUGUCCAUGCCCCCACUCAGUGGCCCAUCUCAUUUCCUAGUCAACCCCAGUCCUCCCCACGACUCCAGGCACCUGGGAGCUGGAGCAGAGCAGAGGGACAGGAAGUCCCCAUGCAUUCCCGGGACCCCAUAGACCCCAACCUUUGGAUCCCCCCCCUCAGGAUCAUCUCCUGACUUAAAAUUGCCAAUCCCAGAUGGAGCUGCUGGGAGUCCGCACCAGGCUGGUUCCCAUGGUAACGUGGAAGCCGCCAGGCCGUGCUCAUAAAACAGGUCAUAAAGCAGAGGGAUGGGAAGAGGAGUGGGGGCUGCAGGGGUGAGAGAAGGGCCCCUUCCUUCAGAGACCUCACCAUCCAUCGGCCCGUUCCUAUCUCUGCCCCCACCCGUGCCCCCGGGGAGAGCUCCCGUGUCUCCUGAGCCUCAGCUUUCUUCUCCAUGAACGGGAGUAAAUCUGUGCAGUGGUAAUGCCUCUGGGUACCACGUUUCCUGGAUCCAAGAAGGCCCUGGUGAAAGGCCCAGCAGGACUGCAGCCCGGGAUUGAGAUCUCUGAGCCUCAGUUUCCCUAUCAGUAUAACAGAGAGCUGACGCGAAACAGUGGAGUGAGGGAAAGAAGCGAAUUUGAUAGAGCACUGGGUUUAUACCCAGCUCUACCGCAAGCUGUGUGACCUUGGGCAAGGUGCAUAAGUCUCUGAGCCAAACUUGUUCACCUCUCAAAUGUAGACCAAAAAGUCAUAGGGUUUUCAUGAGAAUUAAAUUAAAGUUAGUAAAAUAUUUAGCAUGGUGCCUGGUCCAAAGACUGGCUGUGGCUAUUAGUAAUAAUAACAGCUAAUAGUCAGAUAAAUAAUGGUAUUCUGUGUCAAGCACUUGUCUAAAUGCUUUGCACGUAACAAUUCACUUCAUUCUCGCACGUUAUGGUUAUUCCCAUUUUCCAGAUGAGGGCACCAAGGCAGGAGAGGCUGAGCCGCUGGCUGUAAGUUGCACAGCUCAGGGAGGUGGAGCUCCAGUUUAGAUCUGGACUUCAGGUGCUCUCAGUCCCAGCUUCACACUGCCUCUUGCCCCAGGCAGGGCUCCUCCCAGUCCUCCCCGUGACACCAGUGCAAAAGGUGGGAGGGCAGCAAGUGACCUCCUUGGUGUGCGACACACAGAGAGGGGUCUGAGAAUGUAGGUCUGGUCCUCCUGGAGGGUGGGUGGUGGCAACCUGCAAGGACCACAGGGACUGUCUCCUUCCACACCCUAUAUUCUCAUUCUUCAGAUGGGGAACUGGCAGCCCAGAGAGGGCUAGUGACUUGUGCAAAGUCACACAGCAAGGCAGCAGCUGCUAGGGUUCAAACCCAGGUCCCCUUCCCCUGAAGCCAAGUAUACUAUUAAUAAACCCCCUGCUGCCCAGAUACCUUGGCCACUGGCAAAACUGAGAAGAAAACAAAACAACAGUAAGAGUUGUGAUGGUAGUUUCCACAUACUGUGUGCCUGGUAGGUCCCUUCACGUGUGUUCGUUACUAAGUCCUUGCAGGAGGCCCAGAAGUAUAAGGUGCACAUUAUUAUCACCAUUCCCAUUUCAGAGAUGAGAAAACUGAGGAUCAGAGAGGUGGUGUGAUUGGCCCCAGGUCUCAGGGCUAGACAGCUGGGGAGCAGAGACAGGAACACAGACCUGCUGAUCCCAGAGCAGUGCACCAGAGCCCAGGUCCCCAGUCCUGGGAUCUUUCUGCAGUGUAACUCUUGGCGGUGCCCAUGGGGUGGCCUUGAGCUGGCUAACAAGGGCCCCAGGGUGGAGUCACUAACAGCAGGAGCAGGAGGGGUAACCAGCAUUUACCUAGCUGGUUUUUUAAAAAUUCAUCUAUUUAUUCAUUCAUUCACUCGACAAACAUUUGCUAAGGGUCUCUUCUGUGCAGGCAAUAUUGCAGGCAUUGUAGAGACAGCAGUGAACAAAACCCGCGGUCCCAGCCUCGCGGACCUCGUGUCCAAGUGGGAAGAGGCAGACAAUAAACAGAGAAACAAUAAAGAUGUAUGUCAGGUGGUGGUAAGUGCUAUGGAGGGGGAAAAAAAAAAGCCAGAGGAGGGGACAGCACACAAUGGCCCCAGAGAGGCCCCCUUGCAGGUGGUGACCUUGGAAGGGGAUCCAGAGGUGAGGGUGCGGGGGCGCGAGGGGACGCUCAGAGAAGGGUGUAUGGCAAAGGGAAGAGAGGCCGCCGGGCUGGGCUGGGAGUGGGGCCUGCAGGUUGGUGGAGCUGCAGCAGAGCAAUCGAGGGGAGGGUGUCGGCAGGGGGCGGCGGGGGUCAGUGGAAGUCAGGCCUGGCAGAGAGCACAGUGAGAUGAGAAUUGUUGGAGGUUCUGAGCGGAGGAGUGGAAUAAUCUGAUUUCAUUUUUAAGAGGACCCUCUGGAUGCAGGGCUGAGGAGGUGCUGCAGGGGCGAGGGCAGAGGUGGGCUGGAGAGUUAUUACAGUACGUGCAGGACGAAGGAGGCUGGCGCCGCAGGAGUGGAGGAGGGGGUGAGCAAGGGGCACUCUCAGACACAGGUUUCGUAAUUGAAGCAUGGCCGACAUACCAUAUUAUAUUCGCUUCAGGUGUACGACGUCGUGAUUCGACGUUUAUAUACAUGACGCAAUGCUCGCCAUCAGUCUGGUUACCAUCUGUCACUGUAGAGCGUUAUGACAGUAUCAUUGACUAUAUUCCCUACGUUGUACUUUACGGCCCCGUGAUGCAUUUAUUUUGUAACUGGAAGUUGGUGCCUCCUCAUGGAAUCUAAAGUUGCAGCCACAGGCUUGGGGUAGGAGAACCCUAAUCCGGGAGGACUCUGGGCUUUUUGGCUUGAGUAAGAAUGGGGUUGUCGUUCAUGGAGGCGGGGAAGGCUGCAGGCAAAGCAGGCUUGUGCCCGGGCUUUGCCCGUCUCCGUGGGUUUUAAGCCUCACUUUACACCGGCGGCUGUCACCCUUGAGCGAGCAUCAGUCACCUGAGAGGCUUGUUAAAACCCUGAGUCCUGGGUCCCAUGGCCAGGGCUUCUAUUAAGCGGACGUGGGGCGUGGCCUGAGAAUGUGCAUUACCCAUCAGUUCCCUGGCGUGCUGAUCCUGGGACCUCAUCUUGAGAACCACAUGAUGGUCACAGCCAAGAACAUGGAGGCUCAGAGGGCUGAAGUGACCUGUGGCCUCCAUGUGGCUGGAAGGUGACCGGUUACAAAACCAGCAAUUGAGCCAAGACCUCUUGGGCCCUUGACUAGCUUCUGGUCCCUGAUGGGGAGAGCAGGGAGCUCCUGGGAGUCUAUGCCCAAGACCCCCUUCACCUCCUAGUCUCCCCCAAUUACACACAUUCAAGGCUGUAUCCAAGGGAAGGACCCAAGGGUCCUCUGGUUUCACACUUGCUGACACCACAGCCACAAUAAAGUCGGGGAGCCAGGCUGGGGGGCCAUGUCUGUUUUCUCCAGUUUCUCCACCCCCCCUGGGCUUGAGCCCGCCUGGCUUAGCUGAGUCCUGUGCCCAUGAGGAAGUCUGGUGAGGUUUGUGCAAAACAUGGCGUCCCCCUUCCCCUCGUGUCAACACCACUGGCCACGUUCACGUGUUGCGGUUCUCAGGAGGGCCGCCCACUGGCCAUUUCUAGGUCUCCUCGUGUAGAGCACGCGGAGGGAAUAGAUUUCCUGCCCCUGAAAUGAGGUGUGGCUGUGGGGCCUGGUUUAGCCAAAGACCUGGGCGCACAAGUGAGGCAUGCCUCUUCCCCGUGGACGCCUUGAGAGAGGGGAACAUUUACUAUCCAGACUGGUUGGCUCUUUUUGGGAGAGCUGGCCAGCCUGGGUGUCGGACCAAGGCCGAUAUGGAGCAGAGGCCCUGCCAGUUGGGGAUGGCCAUGUCAUAGGAGUAAGAAGUCAGCCUUUGUUGUUCGAGCCAGGUGUUGGCAACUUUCUCGGGCAGAUAAUAAGUCCUUCAGGCUUGUCACAGGCCCCCGACUCUGCCUCGGACAAUGCGUGCGUGAAGGAGUGCUUGUGGCUGUGUUCUGAUGAAACUGUGUUUACAGAGUCAAGUGGCCGGCUGGCAGGCCUUAUGUUAUUUGACCCCGUGUGAUGCCUUGAGGAUUGGGGGUUGUGUGUUUUCGCAUCGUGACCUGGCCACACUGACUACGACACGUUCAUUAGUGACCUUGCUGGUCUAGGGAAGGGAACCUGCCUAUACACGGGUAGGGCAGUAAGUAGGGAGAGUGCAUUUGACUUUGGCUGGAGAGCUUGUGGUUUUCCUCCUAGAUCUUCCGACCCUUCUCCCUGCUCUCUGUCCUGGGAUGCUGGCCUUUAGAAACCAUGUCAGUGACUUUAUCUGCUCUCGGGCGUCCAGUUGGAUCUGGCCCAGGGGGAGCACUGACAGGACAGGGGAGGGACGUGGGUAAGGUCAGGGAAUUUAUUCCCCAGCUCUCUCCCUGCAGGGCCAUCUCAUACUGGCCAAGUGAAGGCCACAGCUGCUGUCGGGGGGCUCGCUCUGUGUCCUGAUGACAGCGGCUUCCCUUAUACAUAACCCCUUAUAAAUAAUCCUUUUAUUAAAUUCAAAUCAAAAGACCUAACUGAUGGUUCCGUCGGCUCCUGCCGGGACCCUGACUGGGAUCCCUUUGAAGCACACAUGUCUGGGCUCCAACUCUGAUCAGGUCACUGAGCGGGGUGGACCAUUUCAUCUCUUUGAGCCCCCUGGUUGUUCUCUGUGGUACAAUGGAGUAAAAAUAGCUUCCAGAAAAGGGAAAGGGGUUUCAUAAACCCUGAUGUCUGUGCAAUGUCAUGAGGCAUCAUAAUUAGCGUUAGGAAAGAAGGGAGGGAGGAGGAAGGAAAUAUCCUCACAACAACUUGAGGAGGGCUGGGCCAUCAAUCCGUUUGCCAGUUGGGGGCCAAGGCCGAGGCAGGUAGGGUGGGGCUCGGAAAGGGUCUGAGCCCUGGACAAAUGCCAGUGUGGGCAUCUCUGGUUCAGUCCUUUCCAGGGAUACCGCUGGAAAAUGGUCCCUAAGAGCAAGGGCGAGUCCUCAGGCAGGCCCAGCCUCAAAAGUGGACUUUGCCACUCCUUGCUAUGUGAUCGUGGGCAAAUGACACCACGUGUCUCUGCCUCCUCUAAACAUGGAGAAAAAACACCUACCUUGCAUGAGGAUUAGAAUGUAAGCUGUAGGGAGGCAGGCAUCCUACAUCUUGUUGACAGCCUGGUGUCUGACCCAUAGUAGCUGCUAGUGUUUAUUGGAGGCACAAACGAGUCAGUGAAUGCAUUUACACGGAGUACUUAGCGCAGCACCUGCCGUUGUAAGUGCCAAAGAACAGUAGCUUCCAAUAAACAGCCACUAUUAUUACCUGUGUCUUGUCUGUGCCUGCUUCACAAGAGGUAGGCUGCCCUCCGGGUCGCUGCCUGGGCCCUGGAGCCUGCCUGCCUGCCUAGAUUCAACCCCUGGUUCGACCAGUUUCCAGCUCCGUGGCCUCUGGUACCUCAUCUCAACCUCCUCGUGUCAGGGACGAGACCCGCGGUGACGCCUGCCCCCCAGCCCUGCUGAGGACUGCACACAUCUUCAGGCCAGCCUGGCACGGAGUCAGCACCAGCGAAUGGCAGCCAUCGCUCUCUGCCCUUUUGCUGGGGGCUGGGCGCUUUAAGCACCAGUGGGCUUGCGGAAAUUGCUCCUGGCCUGGGCACAGGAGCCCCGAGCAACCUGUGGGGUGACCUUGGACUGUCCCCGCCCUCCAAGAGCCUCCACUCUCCCA